GCUCCCGUGGUGAAAUGGAUAUCACAGCGGUCUUCGGAACCGUCGUUGGGGGUUCGAAUCCCUCCGGGAGCACCA
rnacentral:tRNA from 2 species